GAUGAACGCUGGCGGCGUGCCUAAUACAUGCAAGUCGAGCGAAGCGGGGACGGGUGAGUAACACGUGGGUAACCUCCUAUAAGACUGGGAUAACUUCGGGAAACCGGAGCUAAACCGGAAACUUAUAGAUUGAUCCGCGCUGCAUUAGCUAGUUGGUAAGGUAACGGCCUACCAAGGCGACGAUGCAUAGCCGGCCUGAGAGGAUGAUCAGCCACACUGGAACUGAGACACGGUCCAGACUCCUACGGGAGGCAGCAGUAGGGAAUCUUCCGCAAUGGGCGAAAGCCUGACGGAGCAACGCCGCGUGAGUGAUGAAGGUCUUCGGAUUGUAAAGCUCUGUUAGUAGGGAAGCGGUACCUACACAGAAAGCCCCGGCUAACUACGUGCCAGCAGCCGCGGUAAUUC
rnacentral:rRNA from 1 species